rnacentral:rRNA from 1 species
GAUGAACGCUAGCUACAGGCUUAACACAUGCAAGUCGAGGGGUAACGAGAGGAAAGCUUGCUUUCCUUGUCGACGACCGGCGCACGGGUGAGUAACGCGUAUCCAACCUGCCCCCAACUAGGGAAUAACCUUGCGAAAGUAAGACUAAUACCCUAUAAUUUCCUCAGAUGACAUCUGACGAGGAAUAAAGAUUUAUCGGUUGUGGAUGGGGAUGCGUCUGAUUAGCUUGUUAGCGGGGUAACGGCCCACCAAGGCAACGAUCAGUAGGGGUUCUGAGAGGAAGGUCCCCCACAUUGGAACUGAGACACGGUCCAAACUCCUACGGGAGGCAGCAGUGAGGAAUAUUGGUCAAUGGGCGGAAGCCUGAACCAGCCAAGUAGCGUGCAGGAUGACGGCCCUAUGGGUUGUACACUGCUUUUAUACAGGAAUAAAGUUAGCCACGUGUGGUUAUUUGUAGGUACUGUAUGAAUAAGGACCGGCUAAUUCCGUGCCAGCCGCCGCGGUAA